CUCUCUCUCAUCCAUUAUGGUUUGAUUUUCUUGCCCGUAUUCUUUUUUUUUCCUCUUCGACUUAUUCUUCCUCCCCUGCGCUGCUUAUAUCUUCUUCUAUUUAUUUCUCCUGCAACAAAAGCUUGCACUAGCUCCCUUUCAUCAGCCCACCAAUUCACUAGUCAUUGGAUAUGAAACCAGAGACCCAGAGGAGCUCUAGAAAGUUUGCUACCCAUCAUCCAAUCCGCUACCCAUUACUCGCAGCCCGCAAGCAUAACCCGAGGUCGUGAGCAUCAGUAGCCGAUGAGCGGACAUCGGAGACCUGGGCAGCUUAUCGUUUGAUCAUAACUUUCCGAGUUAUCGUCAUCAGCCGUUUGCCAAAACUUCUCUGUUUGGGCGAAAAACGGCAGUGUCGCUCUACCUGCUCUUUACUGCUUUAGGUUCAACUCUGACUUGAGUUGUCGGAAAAUCAUGAGAAGAUCUCAACGGUAUGCGGCCGCAUAACAAUCAAACUCAGAGGUGACUUUUUGUUGAUGGUAAUUCAAUUGUACGUGUUUUCUAAAUCCUGUCGACUUUUUAUAUGUUACAAUUUUUGUAGAGGCACAGAAAAAUGUAUGGUGAAUGGGAUGAAUGUAAGUCCUUUGUUUUGGUUC